rnacentral:lncRNA from 1 species
AUGAGCAUUCCUAUAUCCUGCCUAUUCCAUGCAUGGGGUACAACUGGCCUGGGCAGUAGACAUUUUUGUAUAAAUAACCCUUGUUUGCUGGAAGAUAAAAGUUUCAAACUAAAUAUUCUUGUCCACCUUGAGUCUAACAGCCAACCCUGCAAACUCAUCCUGGAUCUCUGCAGCAUCUCUUCCUCAGCAUCUCUGCAUGUACUGGAGCAAGCUGCUCAUCCCCACCACCUGCCCACGCUUAAAGCAGGUUGGGUCCAAAACUCCUUUGGGAACUUACUGAAGGGUAAGGAUAGAUCUUCGUCUCCACAGCUGUCCCCCUCUCUGUGCAGUGCUUCCUCUCUCCAGGGAGCUUUCUCUCACCACGUCUCAUCUGUCGGGCCCUUUGCAAUUACCUAGGGCAAAAGAUAACAUGCAAACACGUUCUUAGCAUUCAAAGCACUCCGAAAUAUCAGCUUGCAUUACCACUAUACAACAAAGCACAAAGACCACAGAUUACAGCCCGUGACACCGUGCACUGCCCAGCCCCGUGGCUCGCCCGGGGAAGUGAUACCAGAUGUAAACACGAAGGCGGCACGAUCUCCUUUGCAUGUUAACUGAGCAGCCAGGGCAAUCACGGAGCCAGGCACGCUGGUUCUCUUUCAGUGAGCCUCCUGAUUUGCUCCCCAUGCUCAUAUCAAGAGAUGUUUUACCUCUGCGUCCUCCAGACUCAGGUGGCUUCUCUCAUACAGGCUCCGGGACUUCUCCUUCUGCUCUUGUCCAUGCAAUCAAGACAAAGAUUUUCCCUGUCACCAACAUCUCUGGGCAAUGCACUGGUCAGUGUGCCACAAAACACCCAUCCACCACGGGCAAGGCUUCAGCAGGCAGGGUGGUCUUCACAGAUCUCUUACCAAAAAACAAGUGACACCUCUCUACAUGACAUGCUUGUUUCACAACUGAAUUGUGAGGUUACAAGGGAAGGUGUCACCUAAUGAUGAAGCACAGCCCGGCAAGGAUAGGAGACAAACAGGGAAGGAUGUAUGGAAACAGCCAGCACAAGGGAUGGAUGGGGAGAGGGGCUGGUGUGGCCUGGAGGGGCCAAGGACCAGGCUGAGGUGGGGAGGGGACAGUGGGGUAGGACAGGAUAGAAAGUGCAGGGGGGAAAACAUCGCAUAGACCAGCUCCUUCCCUCACUAGAGCCACAGUUGUUGCCCCCACAGAUGAGGGCUGGUGGGAGAAGUGCUGUACCCCCCAGUGCAGCCCGGCUGUGGCAUUGAGCAUGGCACAGACCCCCGCUGUGCUCAGGGGGACAUGCCAUGCUGGCCAUAAGCACAACACCAGCUUGGGCCCUUCCAGAAAACAAACAAAAACACACCUCAAAGUGAAACUCUCUGACAUUCCAGAAAUAACAGCUCUGCAUCCCUCAGAGCCUAAAUCACGCAGGCGGGAGCUCAAGCUGUAACAUGCUGGCUGGUUUCUACCCGGCGCUGCGCUUUAGCCAGCUCUCCAAAGCAAACCGAGAGCCCCGGCUCCUCCUCCUGGGGAGAUGAACAUCCAGCAAUAAAGCCGCCCUAAAUUACUGCGAGCA